AUGGAGAGCUACCUCAACGAGAACUUCGGGGGCGUCAAGCCCAAGCACUCCUCCGACGAGGCGCUGGGCCGAUGGCGCAAGGUCGUCGGCGUCGUCAAGAACCCCAAGCGCCGCUUCCGCUUCACCGCCAACCUCGGCAAGCGAUCCGAGGCCGCCGCCAUGAAGCGGACCAACCAGGAGAAGCUGCGUGUUGCCGUGCUUGUUUCAAAGGCUGCACUUCAGUUCAUCCAUGGUCUUGCUCCCCAGAGCGAGUACACAGUCCCUGCCGCAGUCAAGGCAGCAGGCUACGGCAUCUGUGCUGAGGAACUGAGCUCUGUUGUCGAGAGCCACGACAUCAAGAAGCUGAAAGCACAUGGCGGCACCGAGGGCCUCCUAUCAAAGGUGUCUACCUCAGAGUCGGAUGGCGUCAGCACAUCCAAGGACAAGCUUGCAUCCCGGCAGGAGAUCUUUGGCAUCAACAAAUUCGCCGAGACGGAGGCCCGCAGCUUCUGGGUCUUUGUCUGGGAGGCGCUCCACGACAUGACACUCAUGAUCCUUGCUGCAUGUGCCUUCUUCUCGCUCGUCGUCGGCAUUGCCACCGAGGGGUGGCCCAAGGGCGCGCAUGAUGGCCUCGGCAUCGUCGCUAGUAUUCUUCUGGUUGUGUUUGUCACUGCGACAAGCGACUACCGGCAAUCCCUGCAGUUCAAGGACCUUGACAAGGAGAAGAAGAAGAUCACGGUGCAGGUCAUCCGGAGUGGGUACCGGCAGAAGCUCUCGAUAUACGAGCUUCUCGUUGGUGACAUUGUGCACCUUUCCAUUGGUGAUCAAGUACCAGCUGACGGUUUGUUCGUAUCAGGAUUCUCGUUGCUGAUUAAUGAAUCAAGCCUGACUGGGGAGAGUGAACCAGUUGCUGUCAAUGCCGAGAACCCAUUCCUUUUGUCAGGAACUAAAGUGCAGGAUGGUUCUUGCAAGAUGCUUGUGACGACAGUCGGCAUGAGGACUCAAUGGGGUAAACUCAUGGCCACCCUCAGUGAAGGCGGGGAUGAUGAGACGCCAUUGCAGGUCAAGCUGAACGGCGUUGCCACCAUCAUUGGCAAAAUAGGCCUCGUCUUUGCUGUUGUCACAUUUGCAGUGCUCACUGAAAGCCUGUUCCGCCGCAAGAUCAUGGAUGGUUCGUACUUGAGUUGGAGUGGAGAUGAUGCACUGGAGCUGCUUGAGUUCUUUGCUAUUGCUGUUACUAUUGUUGUUGUAGCAGUUCCUGAAGGCUUACCGCUCGCCGUGACCUUGAGCCUUGCAUUUGCCAUGAAGAAGAUGAUGAAUGACAAGGCGCUUGUCCGACACCUUGCAGCUUGUGAGACCAUGGGCUCAGCAACCUCCAUUUGCAGUGACAAGACUGGCACACUCACAACAAAUCACAUGACUGUCGUCAAGGCUUGCAUCUGUGGCAAAAUUAAAGAAGUGGAAAAAUCUUCAGACGCCAAGAGCUUAUUCUCCGAGCUACCGGAUUCUGUCAUGACAAUGCUCUCGCAGUCCAUAUUUAACAACACUGGUGGCGAUGUUGUCAUCAACCAGGAUGGCAAACGCGAAAUACUGGGCACACCAACUGAGGCAGCAAUUUUAGAGCUUGGCCUGUCACUCGGUGGAGAUUUCCAGGCAGUGCGAAAAGCAACCACCCUCAUCAAAGUCGAGCCAUUUAACUCAGCAAAGAAGAGAAUGGGAGUGGUCAUCCAGCUGCCAGGGGGUGCAUUCCGUGCUCACUGCAAAGGUGCAUCAGAGAUCAUAUUGGCAUCUUGCAGCAAGUACCUGAAUGAUCAAGGCAAUGCCGUCCCCCUUGACAGUGCAACUGUUGCUCACUUGAAUGCCACGAUUGAGAGCUUUGCAAAUGAGGCACUUCGCACUCUGUGCCUUGCUUACAUUGAAGUUGCAGAUGGGUUCUCAGCUAAUGAUGCGAUUCCUGAAGAGGGGUACACAUGCAUUGGCAUUGUUGGGAUUAAAGAUCCAGUGCGCCCAGGUGUGAAGGAAUCUGUUGCCAUCUGCAGGUCAGCCGGUAUUACUGUCAGGAUGGUCACAGGCGACAACAUUAACACAGCAAAGGCAAUUGCCCGGGAAUGUGGCAUUUUGACUGAAGGUGGUCUUGCCAUUGAAGGCCCAGAUUUUAGAACUAAGAGUGCAGAAGAAAUGUACAAAUUGAUACCAAAGAUACAGGUGAUGGCUAGGUCUUCACCACUUGACAAGCACACCUUAGUGAAGAAUCUCCGGACUACACAUGAAGAAGUUGUUGCCGUGACUGGUGACGGGACAAAUGAUGCACCCGCACUUCAUGAGGCUGAUAUUGGACUUGCGAUGGGCAUUGCUGGAACUGAGGUUGCAAAAGAGAGUGCCGAUGUCAUUAUUCUUGAUGACAACUUCUCCACUAUAGUCACGGUUGCCAAAUGGGGUCGAUCUGUGUACAUCAACAUUCAGAAGUUUGUGCAGUUUCAACUGACAGUCAACGUGGUUGCCCUAGUUGUGAACUUCUCGUCAGCUUGCAUGACAGGGAGUGCUCCCCUUACUGCUGUUCAGUUGCUCUGGGUCAAUAUGAUCAUGGACACACUAGGAGCAUUGGCAUUGGCCACAGAACCUCCAAACGAUGAACUGAUGAAGAGGACCCCUGUUGGAAGGAAAGGAAACUUCAUUAGCAACAUUAUGUGGAGGAACAUCAUGGGACAGGCAAUCUACCAGUUCUUUGUAAUUUGGUAUCUGCAGACCGAAGGAAAGACGUUGUUUGAACUUAAGGGUGAUAAUUCCGAUCUAGUCUUGAACACGCUCAUCUUCAAUUGCUUUGUGUUCUGCCAGGUGUUCAACGAGGUGAGCUCCAGAGAGAUGGAGAGGAUAAAUGUAUUCAGAGGCAUUCUAGACAACAACGUGUUCGUCGCGGUGCUCGGCAGCACGGUCUUAUUCCAGAUCAUCAUAGUACAGUUCCUUGGCGAUUUCGCCAACACCACCCCUCUGUCACUCAGGGAGUGGUUCUCCUGCAUCGUCAUCGGCUUCAUAGGCAUGCCUAUCGCCGCGAUAGUCAAGCUCUUCCCAGUGGGUUCUCAGUAG
rnacentral:rRNA from 1 species